UUCCUCAUAGUUUUUUUUUAUACUAUACUGUACUUAUUUCAGAUGAAGGUAUAAAUUUAUCCAAAGAAAUAAUGGGACAAUGAAUGCUAAAAUUGCCAAGAAGUAGACUGCUAUAUUUACACACCAUUUUAUACAGUUACAGUAUGAUAUGAUGGACAAAAAUCCCUCAAUGCAGCCAGUUCUGGAGCUUUGGCUAGACUGUGAACAGUAGACAUCAAAAAGAUGAUCAUCUGAAGGGGCCAGAAGGGCCACAAUUGUUUGAAGCACUGGUCAACAAAAACUGAACUAUUUGAUGGAUCAUACAUGUGCAGAAUGUACUACCAUAUUUCCAGAAUCAGAGAAAUAGAAAUAUCAUGUAUUAGGGAGAAAGAAAAGUAUGCAUCAUGUAUAAAGAAUUGCCUAAGAAUAAUUUGCAAAAUACAUUGAAAUCUCACAAUUGCUAAUUGCACAAUGCAUAUGGAAGUUAAGAAAGGUGUACUCUUCUGGAAAGUAUGUGUCCAGUGCAACAUUUUUUUUUCAAUUUUAUGAGCAUAAUUCUACAUAAAAAUUGUAACAUGGCUACAGGGAUAAUACAAAAGGUGUAAUCUUAUUUCCAAACACAUUGGGGGAAUCAGAGAAGAAAUAUCAAGAAUUAGGGAAAAAGAAAUAAUUGUCAUGAAUGAAGAACUUGCUUUUUAAUAAUUUACAAAAUACUUUGAA